rnacentral:rRNA from 1 species
CGCUGCCGGUUCACCGCCCGUCGGUGUCUAACUGGCAUGCACGUGCGGACGUCCUGCCGGUGGCCCGAGCCGGCGCGGGUCUCGCACCCGUCGUCCGGGGAAGGCCUAUCAUACCCGUCGCGGUGCUCUUAACCGAGUGUCUCGAUGGGCCGGCACGUUUACUUUGAACAAAUUAGAGUGCUUAAAGCAGGCAGCAUCCGCCUGAAUACCGAGUGCAUGGAAUAAUGGAAUAGGACCUCGGUUCUAUUUUGUUGGUUUUCGGAAUCCCCGAGGUAAUGAUCAAUAGGGACAGACGGGGGCAUUCGUAUUGCGACGUUAGAGGUGAAAUUGGAAGGGCACCACCAGGAGUGGAGCCUGCGGCUUAAUUUGACUCAACACGGGAAACCUCACCAGGCCCGGACACCGGGAGGAUUGACAGAUUGAGAGCUCUUUCUUGAUUCGGUGGGUGGUGGUGCAUGGCCGUUCUUAGUUGGUGGAGCGAUUUGUCUGGUUAAUUCCGAUAACGAACGAGACUCUAGCCUGCUAACUAGUCGCUUCCGGUAUCCUUGUGCUACCGGCGACUCCUGAUCUUCUUAGAGGGACAGGCGGCUUCUAGCCGCACGAGAUUGAGCAAUAACAGGUCUGUGAUGCCCUUAGAUGUUCUGGGCCGCACGCGCGCUACACUGAAGGAAUCAGCGUGUCCUCCCUGGCCGAAAGGUCCGGGUAACCCGCUGAACCUCCUUCGUGCUAGGGAUUGGGGCUUGCAAUUGUUCCCCAUGAACGAGGAAUUCCCAGUAAGCGCGAGUCAUAAGCUCGCGUUGAUUACGUCCCUGCCCUUUGUACACACCGCCCGUCGCUACUACCGAUUGAAUGAUUUAGUGAGGUCUUCGGACCGGUGGGCGAGGGGGCUCGCCUCCUCGAUUCCACCGGGAAGAUGCCCAAACUUGAUCAUUUAGAGGAAGUAAAAGUCGUAACAAGGU